rnacentral:tRNA from 1 species
CCGACCUUAGCUCAGUUGGUAGAGCGGAGGACUGUAGUGGGACCUACCCCUUGGCCAUCCUUAGGUCGCUGGUUCGAAUCCGGCAGGUCGGA